CUGGCGGCAUGCCUUACACAUGCAAGUCGAACGGCAGCACGGGAGCAAUCCUGGUGGCGAGUGGCGAACGGGUGAGUAAUAUAUCGGAACGUGCCCAGUCGUGGGGGAUAACGUAGCGAAAGCUACGCUAAUACCGCAUACGAUCUAUGGAUGAAAGCGGGGGAUCGCAAGACCUCGCGCGAUUGGAGCGGCCGAUAUCAGAUUAGGUAGUUGGUGAGGUAAAGGCUCACCAAGCCGACGAUCUGUAGCUGGUCUGAGAGGACGACCAGCCACACUGGGACUGAGACACGGCCCAGACUCCUACGGGAGGCAGCAGUGGGGAAUUUUGGACAAUGGGCGAAAGCCUGAUCCAGCAAUGCCGCGUGCAGGAAGAAGGCCUUCGGGUUGUAAACUGCUUUUGUACGGAACGAAAAGGUCUGCCCUAAUACGGCGGGCCCAUGACGGUACCGUAAGAAUAAGCACCGGCUAACUACGUG
rnacentral:rRNA from 1 species